rnacentral:sRNA from 1 species
UCUUAGCCCUGAUGGAAGCGAUAUCCUUUUAUUUUUUUCUUUAAAAAAUAAAAGAUACUAGCGGACAGCAGGAAAUAGC